rnacentral:sRNA from 1 species
CUGAUGCGCGUCGAUCGGAACUUCGGAC